GACGUAGGGCGCGAGCGUUGUCCGGAUUUAUUGGGCGUAAAGAGCUCGUAGGCGGCUUGUCGCGUCGUCCGUGAAAACCUGCAGCUCAACUGCAGGCUUGCGGUCGAUACGGGCAGGCUAGAGUUCGGUAGGGGAGACUGGAAUUCCUGGUGUAGCGGUGAAAUGCGCAGAUAUCAGGAGGAACACCAGUGGCGAAGGCGGCUCACUGGCCCGGUACUGACGCUGAGGUGCGAAAGCGUGGGGAGCAAACAGG
rnacentral:rRNA from 1 species